UAUACAACUGCAUACCGGGGGGCUUUGGGGAGAAAAAGGAAAAAUAAAAUCUUAAAAAAAAAAAUACAAAAAGACUGACAACACCAAGUGCUGACGGGGAUGUGGAGCAACGGGAACUCUCAGGCCCUGCUGGGGGAAAUGCAGGAUGGCACGAAAUGAACUCUCUGGAAAACAGUUCAGUGUGUUCUCAUGAAGUUAAACGUGUACUCACCAGGGGAACCACCUCCUCCACUCCUAGAGAAAAAAUGUCCACACAGACAUUUGCACACAGAUAUUCACAGCAGCUUUAUUGAUAAAAACUCCAAACUAGAAACAAUCCAAAUGUCCACCAGCAGGAGAACUGGAUAAAAUGUGGCGGCUCCUUACAGCGUAACCCACUCGGCGAUGGAAAGAAGGGGCUAUUGGUGCCGUAACAACAUGGGUAAAUCUCACGAGCACUGUGGUGGAUGCAGGAGCCAGACCGCAAGAAUACGUACCCUAGAUUCCAUUUACGCGAAGUUCAAGGACAGGCUGCUUCUUCCAUCCUGAUACUAAUCCCCACAGUGGCUGCCUCUGGGGGAGGCUGGAACCGGCCAGCAAGGGGCAGGAGGGGGCUCCCUGGGGCGGUGCUUCUUUUCUACACCAGAGUUUCAAAGUGUGAUCCCGCCGGCAGCACCAGCACCCCCGGGGACUUUUUGAACCGUCGUUCUCCCGCAGGCCCCCGGGCCCACUGAGCCAGAAGGCCUGGAGAAGCCCCACAGCCUGGCCUUUGACGAGCCCGGGAUGAUUCCGUGCAGGCCAGUGUCUGAGAACCUCAGCUUGUAUCUUUAUGGGAUAACGGCCACUCAGCGUAGACAUUUGUCAAAACGCUUCCAAAUGUGCAUUUCACCGUGUGUGAAUUUUACAACAAAGAAAUAAGGCAAUUACAAAUGCAAAACAAAAUUCAAACCCUUAAAAACAACACCUGCUGGGCAUCCCCUCCUUGUUCUGAAUACGCUCGCUGUCCUGGGUGGGAGAUGGGACAGAUGCAGAAGAACGUGGGGCCGUCAGCGGGGCAGGGCCACCGGCGGCUCAGGCCUGUGUUGGGGGUCUGCUCCCAGGGGCGGGGUUGCUGCUCCCUGUCUCCGGUCUUUUUCCCCAGCUGUGGCAGAAGCAGAAGCCCUGGGGGGAAGGAAAUAUGCGACUCCAGGGGAAGGACUGGGCUUGUUGGCCUGCAGGAGACCCGUCCUGGCACUGCCCCCGCUGGCACUGGCCCUCCCUUGACCUUGGCAAGGCCAGCGAGGCGCUCAGGACAUUUUAGAUGCCUGUGGGGUGAGAACAGCUGACCAGUGCUCAGGUCCAACCCCUGGUGCAAUUCUCUGAGGCAGGAACUCUCGUGGGCCCAUUUCUAAGAGGUGGAGACGGAGGUGCUGGGUCAGCAAGGGAGGAAGGCAUCCCGCAGGCCCAGGCUCCGGGGGCUGCGUCGUCUCAGAAGUUGCCUGACCACCUGGGUGGGAGAGGGAGGCGUCGGCGGACUUUGCACCAGCAUUCCCGCUGACUCAGGGAACACAGGAAGGAAUUGUUUGCUUCCAACCUUGCAGGAAGGGGCUGUGACACCCCCUAGGCCUCCUGGAGGCAACACCUGCUGGUGUUACCAGGCACCCGAAUUAAAGAAGGUUGGAUGCGUCCGUCAGCAGACCUAAAGCACAGUCCACACAGCUUCCUUUAUCCUCAAUAUGGCUCCCUGGCUUUGCUAUCAAAACCUCAAGUCAUCACUCAAUGCUGUCACUUACAGGAGAUGCUGUCCCAGGGACACCUCGGGCCUCACUUCACACAUAUAAUGGCCUUGGGCUACACUGUGGGUCCGAAGAUCUCUGGGAAGGCCAGCAGUGCUGGGCCUGGACCGGCUCAGUCCCUGCCCGAGAAAUGGUCCAUCACGUCCCCGGGCAGGAGGCCGGGAGUGCAGGGGGUGGCGUGAUGGCGACCAGGAAGGAGUUGGCUUGCCUGCUGCUGACCCCGUGAUCUCAGGGUAUCAAUGUGCCUCAGGAAAGGGAAGACCCCCUAGGACCCAGAAGGACCCAUAAGUUGCUCCAUUGCCACAUGGACCCUCUAGCGCCAGCCCAGACAGUAGCCUUGAGGGGCCAGCAUUUGAAAUGUAAGUUUGGGGGAGGAACUGAAGGGAUGAAACCAGUCUCAGGUCACGGAAGAAGAGGGGUGGAGGAGGAGAGCUUAGGGGGCUGGGGAGAAGACUCAGGGGCCUGUUGGCCAGCUCUGACCCCAUCCAGGUGGGCUUGGGGCUGGGGGCCCAGUGCCUGUGUCACAGCCUGUGCUGCCUGGGCGCCUUCCCAGGAGCCCUUAAGCCCUGACUGGGGCCGCCCAGGCGGUGGACGGCAGGGAUGACCCCUUGGCACUCUUGCACAGGCAGCAGGGGACCGCCAGGAACCUCCUGGGCACCCCCUACCCCAGGUGCCCAGUGCUGUACACCCACUCCAGGAAUAGGCUGAAGGUCCUGAUGGGUCAGCAGGCGAGAAGCUGCCCUGGAAGCAGCAGCAUGCAGCGUCCACAUGGCUGGGCGUGAGCAGGGAGGACGCCAGGACUCCUCUUCCAGCUGGAUCAGGACCAUCCUGUGUCCGCGCCAGGCCUGCAGCAUCAUCCCCCAGGAACCAGGCCAGACAAGCGGAGGCGAAGAGAGGGCGGCAGAAAACAAGAUAAAUGGCCCAAUGGAUGCCAGCCCCGGCCGCCAAACACCGGGGGCUGUGGACUGGGCUGGCCCACGAUGUGCGUGUGAAGCAGCAGCUCACACAGAGCGUCGCCAAGCCCCUUCUUUCAGCAAACGCUGAGUCCCCGGAUGUGGGCUGACUUCGGGGCGUGGACAAUUUCUGUGGGUCAAGAAUCCAGGAACGCAGUGAUUUCUUGGAUCCGACAACGAAAGCAUAGGCAAUAAAAGAAAAAACUAGAUCAAGGGGACUACAUCAAAAUUUAAAACUUCUUCAUGUCAAAGGACAAUCGACAGUGUGAAAAGAGAACCCAUGAAAUGGGAGAAAAUAGUUGCAAAUCGUGUAUCUGCUAAGGGAAUGACGUCCAGAAUAUGUAAAGAACCCCUGCAACUCAGCUCUGGAACAAACAGCCUGAUGCAGAAACCGGCAAAGGACCUGAACAGGUGUUUCUCCAAAGGCAACGCCCACAAGCCCCUGAAAAGGUGCUCAAAGUCACUGGUAUGAGGGAAAUGCAAGCUGACACCACAGUGAGACGGUGCCUCACACCCAUCAGGACGGCUGCUCUCAAAACACGGAAAACGACAAGUGUUUCUUGUUGGAGGAUGAGGAGAAAUUGGGGUGUUGUGUGCUGUUGGUGGGGAUGUGAAUUUGUAUAGCUGCUGUGGAAAACAGGGUGCAGGUUCCUCCAAAAAUUAAACACAGAAUUACUGUGUGAUCCAGCAAUCCUACUUUUGGGUCUUUCCCCAAAAGAAGUGAAAGCAGGGUCUUGAUGACAUACUGCACACCCGUGUUCACAGCAGCAUUGUUCACAACAGCAAAAACGAGGAAGCAACCUCAGUGUCCCUUGAUGGAUGAAUGGCGUUAAAAAGAAAACCACAGGCCCCAAACAAUGUUAUUUGUGCUAAAGCCCAUGACAUGAGCCUGGAUUUGAGGCCUGAUCUAACUGCACUUUCAGCCUCUCCCAGAAACGUCAUCUUAAUCGACCAGUCUGGAAUUUUCUGGUCAACACCAGUCGGGUAAUCGCUCACCUGGGCCCUCUUGGCUCCCCAGAAGAAGAGGCAUCCAUGUGACAAAGCCCCUACCUUUCCUUCCCCCAGGAGACAAGGAGACGCCCUGGCCCCAAGUUAGCCUUCCUUUUCUUUUCUGGGAGCUCCCUGCCCGACCCUCCUUCCUAUUGCAGCCUGCAGAGCUCCCUUCUAGUGGCUAGAUGAGGUGCUGCCCGAUUCAGAGGCGCUUAGUGAAGCCAAUUAGAGCUUCCCAUUUACUCAGUUGAAUUUUGGUUUUAACAAUGGACGAGCAAAACGUGGCAUAUCCAUAUGUGAUGUUGUGAUUUAUAAUAAACAUGUAUUUGGUGUUCAUCUGUGAUUCCUGGCUCACGGCUCCCAAAAUGCUUGGAAAUUCCUGAGCAACAAUAACAAUGGGAGCAUCUUUUGUUAGAAUAUUUGGUCUCUCAUUCUCAGUUCCUCAAAUUGCUUCAGAGCCAUGAAGGUGACAUGGGUGUCUUUUUUUUAAAUUAUUUUUUAUUGUGGUAACAUUGGUUUAUAACAUUAUAUAAAUUUCGAGUGUACA